rnacentral:rRNA from 1 species
GGCGCGAGCGUUGUCCGGAAUUAUUGGGCGUAAAGAGCUCGUAGGCGGCUGGUCGCGUCUGUCGUGAAAUCCUCUGGCUUAACUGGGGGCUUGCGGUGGGUACGGGCCGGCUUGAGUGCGGUAGGGGAGGCUGGAACUCCUGGUGUAGCGGUGGAAUGCGCAGAUAUCAGGAAGAACACCGGUGGCGAAGGCGGGUCUCUGGGCCGUUACUGACGCUGAGGAGCGAAAGCGUGGGGAGCGAACAGGAUUAGAUACCCUGGUAGUCAAGGGCG